GGAUUGGAGUCUGCAACCCGACUCCAUGAAGCUGGAGUCGCUAGUAAUCGCGCAUCAGCCACGGCGCGGUGAAUACGUUCCCGGGCCUUGUACACACCGCCCGUCAAGCCAUGGAAGCCGGGAGUGCCUGAAGUGUGCAACCGCAAGGAGCGUCCUAGGGUAAAACCGGUGACUGGGGCUAAGUCGUAACAAGGUAUC
rnacentral:rRNA from 1 species